GUGGGGAAUCUUGCGCAAUGGGCGAAAGCCUGACGCAGCCAUGCCGCGUGAAUGAUGAAGGUCUUAGGAUUGUAAAAUUCUUUCACCGGGGACGAUAAUGACGGUACCCGGAGAAGAAGCCCCGGCUAACUUCGUGCCAGCAGCCGCGGUAAUACGAAGGGGGCUAGCGUUGCUCGGAAUUACUGGGCGUAAAGGGCGCGUAGGCGGACAGUUUAGUCAGAGGUGAAAGCCCAGGGCUCAACCUUGGAAUUGCCUUUGAUACUGGCUGUCUUGAGUACGGGAGAGGUGAGUGGAACUCCGAGUGUAGAGGUGAAAUUCGUAGAUAUUCGGAAGAACACCAGUGGCGAAGGCGACUCACUGGCCCGUUACUGACGCUGAGGCGCGAAAGCGUGGGGAGCAAACAGGAUUAGAUACCCCAGUAAGUCC
rnacentral:rRNA from 1 species